CUCGUCAGUGUCCCGAGAGAUCCCCAGAAGAACGAGAGGGCUGAACAGGGGACCCCACUGACGUCCGGUGGGCCGACUUUACGAUCCUUUAGGGUCUCUAUGAAGUCAGAGCUAUUACUAUCAGCAUUUUACCCAUGAAGAAACCGAGGUUUAGAGAGAUUCUUUUCCAGGAACUGGAUAGCCAGCAAGAUGUGAAGCAGGAUGAAGAAACUAAGACUCAGAGAAGACAAAUGACAUGCCCAAAGACACAUUGAUAAGAACGCAUCUGGUAGUGGUGUUCGAGUCCAGCGUUGCAGCAGAGAGAUGGGUAACUGUAUGGCCGAACAGCUGUCUUCUCGUGGAAGAAGGAGGCCAAUGUCCAGGAGUGGCAGGCAUACUGGAACUUGGACUUCUGUAGGCCAACCUGGGUUCCACUUGGUAGAUGGGGGUCUUGCUGUGUUGCCCAGGCUGGUCUCAAACUCCUGGCCUGAAGCAGUCCUCCUCCCUUAGCCUCCAGAGUAGCUGGGACUACAGGUACACACCACUGCAACCCCUCAGUGGUUGUUAUUUAACUGAAGGGGGUUUUAGCUUUCAUGUAUCAGCUCACUCUGGAGCCAGACAGCCUGGCCUUCAUGGCAGCUCUGCCCCUUACUACCUGUGUGACAUCGGGCAACGUUACUGAGUGUCAGAUUUCUUAUUUGUAAAACAGGGAUAAAAAUGACAUUGCUGUGCAAAUUAAAAGAAAGAAUCCAUGUGAGAUAUUUAGCACACUGGCAUACAAUGAGAGCUUAAUAAACAUUGUUAGUUUUGUAAACUGAGGGAAAAAAAUAGCCACAGGCCUGGGAACAUAAAUGCUUGGUAAGCUUCUCAGUUCCCUGGAAGUCUGACACGCAAUGUGUAUGUAUGAACAAGGCAGGAGGAAGCAUGACACCAAGCCUUCCUUUUAACAAACACUGUUUAAAUCAGAGGUCGGAAGUCAUGGACUGGAGAUUCAUUCUCUCCCCACUCAUUUCUGCCCAGAGACACCUGGUGAUCUGGCAUACACAGUGCUAUGAACCUCAGAAUUAUUUGCUAGCAUUUACAAAUUGUGAGUACUCCCACAUACAAACUGUGGUAGAUGGAAUAAUGCCUCCCCACAAAAAUGUCCACAGCCUAAUCCCUGGAACCUGGGAAUAUGUUACUUUACACAGCAAAGGAAUGUUGCAGCUGUGAUUGGAGAUUGAGAUAGGGAGAGUGUAUUAGUCUGUUGUCAUGCGGCUAUGAAGAAAUACCUGAGACUGGGUAAUUUACAAAGAAAAGAGGUUUAAUUCACUUACAGCUCAGCACGGCUGGUUGGGGGGGCGCCCUCAGGAAAUUUACAAUCAUGGUAGGAGGCACCUCUUCACAGGGUGGCAGGAGAGAAAAUAAGAGCAGAGCGAAGGGGGAACCCCUUAUAAAACUGUCAGAUCUCAUGAGAACUCACUGUCAUGAGAACAGCAUGGGGGAAACCGCCCCCAUGAUCCAUCACCUCCACCUGGUCCCCCCCUUGUUACAAUUCAAGGGGAUUGUAACAAUUCAAGGUGAGAUCUGGGUGGGGACACAGAGCCAAACCAUAUCAGAGAGUCUUCCUGCAGUGUCCGGGUGGGUGCGGCAUGUUCAUAGGGUCUUAGAAGAGGGAAGCAAGAGGUGAGAGGACAGAAAUGCCACAUUGCUGGCUUUGAGGGUGGGGCCAGAGGAGGGACCUGCAGGCAGAGAUAGAGCUGGAAAUGGAAAGGAAACCUUCUCCCUUAGAGUCUCCAGAAGAAGUGCAGCCCUACAGACCUGUGUUAGGCUUCAGACCUCCAGAAUUGUAAAAUAAUAAAAUUGCAUUAUUUUAAGCCACUCGAGGCCCAUGUCCUCAACAAAGAGAAAGACGGUGGGGUGCUGUCAGCCAGGGUAGGUACCUGCUUGGUGGUCUGGGUCCUUUCCCACUGUGUCCAUUCAGUUACAUUACCUGCCCAUCUGCUGAGGCCUCGAGUUUGGGACCUCAGGUUUAUAUAAUUCCUUGCACAAGCAUGAUCGAUUGAUUCCGGAGAGUAGCAGAACACUGAUAUGCAGGGGAAUCUCCUAGUUCCAAGUGUGAGUUGUAGUCUAGACACUUCCUGUU
rnacentral:lncRNA from 1 species